GUGUCACAUGAAAGGAGAGAAGGUUAGCAUUCUCCUGGCCAACCCUAGAAGAGGCUCUUGAGCCUAUCUUGGGUCUUGAAUAUUGUAUAGCUUAAGAAAAAAACAGUUAACUUCUCUCAGCCUCAAUUUUUU
rnacentral:ncRNA from 1 species